CAGCAGUGAGGAAUAUUGGUCAAUGGACGAGAGUCUGAACCAGCCAAGUAGCGUGCAGGAAGACGGCCCUAUGGGUUGUAAACUGCUUUUAUAAGGGAAUAAAGUGAGUCUCGUGAGACUUUUUGCAUGUACCUUAUGAAUAAGGACCGGCUAAUUCCGUGCCAGCAGCCGCGGUAAUACGGAAGGUCCGGGCGUUAUCCGGAUUUAUUGGGUUUAAAGGGAGCGUAGGCCGGAGAUUAAGCGUGUUGUGAAAUGUAGACGCUCAACGUCUGCACUGCAGCGCGAACUGGUUUCCUUGAGUACGCACAAAGUGGGCGGAAUUCGUGGUGUAGCGGUGAAAUGCUUAGAUAUCACGAAGAACUCCGAUUGCGAAGGCAGCUCACUGGAGCGCAACUGACGCUGAAGCUCGAAAGUGCGGGUAUCGAACAGGAUUAGAUACCCUGGUAGUCCGCACGGUAAACGAUGGAUGCCCGCUGUUGGUCUGAACAGGUCAGCGGCCAAGCGAAAGCAUUAAGCAUCCCACCUGGGGAGUACGCCGGCAACGGUGAAACUCAAAGGAAUUGACGGGGGCCCGCACAAGCGGAGGAACAUGUGGUUUAAUUCGAUGAUACGCGAGGAACCUUACCCGGGCUUGAAUUGCAGAGGAAGGAUUUGGAGACAAUGACGCCCUUCGGGGUCUCUGUGAAGGUGCUGCAUGGUUGUCGUCAGCUCGUGCCGUGAGGUGUCGGCUUAAGUGCCAUAACGAGCGCAACCCUUGCCACUAGUUACUAACAGGUGAUGCUGAGGACUCUGGUGGGACUGCCAGCGUAAGCUGCGAGGAAGGCGGGGAUGACGUCAAAUCAGCACGGCCCUUACAUCCGGGGCGACACACGUGUUACAAUGGCAUGGACAAAGGGCAGCUACCUGGUGACAGGAUGCUAAUCUCCAAACCAUGUCUCAGUUCGGAUCGGAGUCUGCAACUCGACUCCGUGAAGCUGGAUUCGCUAGUAAUCGCGCAUCAGCCAUGGCGCGGUGAAUACGUUCCCGGGCCUUGUACACACCGCCCGUCAAGCCAUGGGAGCCGGGGGUACCUGAAGUGCGUAACCGCAAGGAGCGCCCUAGGGUAAAACUGGUGAUUGGGGCUAAGUCGUAACAAGGUAGCCGUACCGGAAGGUGCGGCUG
rnacentral:rRNA from 1 species